GUCCUGGUAGCUCAGCUGGAUAGAGCAAUGGCCUUCUAACCCGUCGUUAUGGGGUUUAGUAUCCCUCCCAGGACG
rnacentral:tRNA from 1 species